GUCAGUUAGUGGUGAAGCGUUGGCAACGUUGGCUUUUAUGUCAUUCAACGUUUUUUACAAUCGAAUUUGCUCUAUGCAUUUACUCGUAUAUCACAUGAAUAUUUUUUUGAACACUAGACCUUUGAUUGCAGUGUAUAUACUAUAUAGGACUACAUUUUGUAAGAAUUAUACCCUGGGAAUUGACAACAAAUCGUUCAUUAUACGAUUCAGUAAAGAGAAACAAAACAAAACACUACGGCUAAAAUUAUCACUAGGAAAUAACAGUAUUUUUCUUUUACUUAUUACUGUAUCACUAUACCAAAUUCGACUCUCAUCCCUUUUGGAAAAAAGGUGAAAUUCUGAUUGCUUCAAUUGGUAAGUUUAAUUUGACUGUCAUUUAAGAUUUAAAAUCACACACUAAAUUGCUAUCAUUAUUAAAAACCGCACAUAUACACAUACACAUACUACUUUUUUUUAUUACAUCGGUAUAGCGUAUGC